UCAGGACGUGGGUGCCGAUGACAAGGGCGCUUUGCCACCAUGGCCCGGGGCUGGAAGCACAGCUCUCAAAGGAGGCGUUGAUAGAGGAGGACCUGGGAUGCCGAGAAGAGAAACCGCAUGAAGGCUUUUGCAGCUAGCAGCGGGCGCAGUGGAGACUUGACCCUGGCGAUCUCAGAGGCGUAUAUCAAGCUGUGUGUGUGUCUGUUUCAAAUUUUACCAGCAGAAACGUCUGUCUUACCCCACUCUCUCCACCCCAUUUCUCUCUGCCUCAAUUAUCUAGUUUCAUAACCGUGGUGUAUCUUGUUGGAUUUUGCUG
rnacentral:lncRNA from 1 species